CAUUCACGGAGAGUUUGAUCCUGGCUCAGGACGAACGCUGGCGGCGUGCUUAACACAUGCAAGUCGAACGAUGAAGCCUUUCGGGGUGGAUUAGUGGCGAACGGGUGAGUAACACGUGGGCAAUCUACCCUUCACUCUGGGACAAGCCCUGGAAACGGGGUCUAAUACCGGAUAACACUCUGUCCCGCAUGGGACGGGGUUAAAAGCUCCGGCGGUGAAGGAUGAGCCCGCGGCCUAUCAGCUUGUUGGUGGGGUAAUGGCCUACCAAGGCGACGACGGGUAGCCGGCCUGAGAGGGCGACCGGCCACACUGGGACUGAGACACGGC
rnacentral:rRNA from 1 species